GAACGAACGCUGGCGGCGCGCCUAAUACAUGCAAGUCGAGCGAGAAGACGUAGCAAUACGUUUGUAAAGCGGCGAACGGGUGAGGAAUACAUGGGUAACCUACCCUCGAGUGGGGAAUAACUAGCCGAAAGGUUAGCUAAUACCGCGUACGCUCCUUGGACUUCGGUUCAGGGAGGAAAGCGAUACCGUGGGUACCGCGCUCUUGGAUGGGCUCAUGUCCUAUCAGCUUGUUGGUGAGGUAACGGCUCACCAAAGGCUUCGACGGGUAGCUGGUCUGAGAGGACGAUCAGCCACACUGGCACUGCGACACGGGCAGACUCCUACGGGAGCAGCAGUAA
rnacentral:rRNA from 1 species